GUGCUCGCUUCGGCAGCACAUAGACUAAAAUUGAAGCGAUACAGAGAUUAGCAUGGCCGACAAGGACGACACGCAAAUUCGUGAAGCGUUCCAUAUUUUU
ensembl:snRNA U6 U6 spliceosomal RNA